AGUAGUCAUAUGCUUGUCUCAAAGAUUAAGCCAUGCAUGUCUAAGUAUAAGCAAUUAUACAGCGAAACUGCGAAUGGCUCAUUAUAUAAGUUAUCGUUUAUUUGAUAGUGCCUUACUACUUGGAUAACCGUGGUAAUUCUAGAGCUAAUACAUGCUAAAAAUCCCGACUUCGGAAGGGAUGUAUUUAUUAGAUUAAAAACCAAUGCCCUCUGGGCUCUUUGGUGAUUCAUGAUAACUUCACGAAUCGCACGGCCUUGCGCCGGCGAUGGCUCAUUCAAAUUUCUUCCCUAUCAACUUUCGAUGUUUGGGUAGUGGCCAAACAUGGUUGCAACGGGUAACGGAGGGUUAGGGCUCGACCCCGGAGAAGGAGCCUGAGAAACGGCUACUACAUCCAAGGAAGGCAGCAGGCGCGCAAAUUACCCAAUCCCGAUUCGGGGAGGUAGUGACAAUAAAUACUGAUACAGGGCUCUUUCGGGUCUUGUAAUCGGAAUGAGUACAAUUUAAAUCCCUUAACGAGGAACAAUUGGAGGGCAAGUCUGGUGCCAGCAGCCGCGGUAAUUCCAGCUCCAAUAGCGUAUAUUAAAGUUGUUGUGGUUAAAAAGCUCGUAGUUGAACCUUGGGCCUGGCUGGCCGGUCCGCCUCACCGCGUGUACUGGUCCGGCCGGGUCUUUCCCUCUGUGGAACCCCAUGCCCUUCACUGGGUGUGGCGGGGAAACAGGACUUUUACUUUGAAAAAAUUAGAGUGCUCCAGGCAGGCCUAUGCUCGAAUACAUUAGCAUGGAAUAAUAGAAUAGGACGUGCGGUUCUAUUUUGUUGGUUUCUAGGACCGCCGUAAUGAUUAAUAGGGACAGUCGGGGGCAUCAGUAUUCAAUUGUCAGAGGUGAAAUUCUUGGAUUUAUUGAAGACUAACUACUGCGAAAGCAUUUGUCAAGGAUGUUUUCAUUAAUCAGGAACGAAAGUUAGGGGAUCGAAGACGAUCAGAUACCGUCGUAGUCUUAACCAUAAACUAUGCCGACUAGGGAUCGGACGAUGUUAUUUUUUGACUCGUUCGGCACCUUACGAGAAAUCAAAGUGCUUGGGCUCCAGGGGGAGUAUGGUCGCAAGGCUGAAACUUAAAGAAAUUGACGGAAGGGCACCACCAGGGGUGGAGCCUGCGGCUUAAUUUGACUCAACACGGGGAAACUCACCAGGUCCAGACACAAUGAGGAUUGACAGAUUGAGAGCUCUUUCUUGAUUUUGUGGGUGGUGGUGCAUGGCCGUUCUUAGUUGGUGAAGUGAUUUGUCUGCUUAAUUGCGAUAACGAACGAGACCUUAACCUGCUAAAUAGCCCGUAUUGCUUUGGCAGUACGCUGGCUUCUUAGAGGGACUUUCGGCUCAAGCCGAAGGAAGUUUGAGGCAAUAACAGGUCUGUGAUGCCCUUAGAUGUCCUGGGCUGCACGCGCGUUACACUGACGGAGCCAGCGAGUACUUCCUUGUCCGAAAGGUCCGGGUAAUCUUGUUAAACUCCGUCGUGCUGGGGAUAGAGCAUUGCAAUUAUUGCUCUUCAACGAGGAAUCCCUAGUAAGCGCAAGUCAUCAGCUUGCGUUGAUUACGUCCCUGCCCUUUGUACACACCGCCCGUCGCUACUACCGAUUGAAUGGCUCAGUGAGGCGUUCGGACUGGCCCAGAGAGGUGGGCAACUACCACUCAGGGCCGGAAAGUUCUCCAAACUCGGUCAUUUAGAGGAAGUAAAAGUCGUAACAAGGUCUCCGUUGGUGAACCAGCGGAGGGAUCAUUA
rnacentral:rRNA from 1 species